rnacentral:rRNA from 1 species
UACGUAGGGUGCAAGCGUUAAUCGGAAUACUGGGCGUAAAGCGUGCGCAGGCGGUUUUGUAAGUCUGUCGUGAAAUCCCCGGGCUUAACCUGGGAAUUGCAUUUGUGACUGCACGGCUAGAGUGUGUCAGAGGGGGGUAGAAUUCCACGUGUAGCAGUGAAAUGCGUAGAUAUGUGGAGGAAUACCGAUGGCGAAGGCAGCCCCCUGGGAUAACACUGACGCUCAUGCACGAAAGCGUGGGGAGCAAACAGG